GCUGAAAUAAACAAGUGUGAAAUGAAUAAAAAAGUUUCUUCAAUUGCUGAUAUUCUUGAGAACCAUCAUACAAAGAAGAAAAGGAGCAGGACUACUUGCAAACGACUUGCUUGAGGGGACUAAUAGAAUACACUUUGCAGCCCUGGACUUGAUGGUACAUUGGAAGCAUGCGGAUUGGGAGAUAUGAAGAUGUUUUUGAGAGAUGUAUGAUAAAGUGUUGUACUUUUGAAGACAAGCACAUUUUGGAAUAUAUGAAAUAUCUUGUAAUUGGAGCGAACAAUAUUAAAUGAUAAAGUUUGU